GUCAGGAUGGCCGAGAGGUCUAAUGUGCUGCGUUCAGGUCGCACUCUACUCUUUUAGGCGUGGGUUCGAAUCCCACUUCUGACA